UGAACGCUAGCGGGAUGCCUUACACAUGCAAGUCGAACGGCAGCACGGACUUCGGUCUGGUGGCGAGUGGCGAACGGGUGAGUAAUGUAUCGGAACGUGCCUAGUAGCGGGGGAUAACUACGCGAAAGCGUAGCUAAUACCGCAUACGCCCUACGGGGGAAAGCAGGGGAUCGCAAGACCUUGCACUAUUAGAGCGGCCGAUAUCGGAUUAGCUAGUUGGUGGGGUAACGGCUCACCAAGGCGACGAUCCGUAGCUGGUUUGAGAGGACGACCAGCCACACUGGGACUGAGACACGGCCCAGACUCCUACGGGAGCCAGCAGUGGGGAAUUUUGGACAAUGGGGGAAACCCUGAUCCAGCCAUCCCGCGUGUGCGAUGAAGGCCUUCGGGUUGUAAAGCACUUUUGGCAGGAAAGAAACGUCAUGGGCUAAUACCCCGUGAAA
rnacentral:rRNA from 1 species